UAAUACAAAAAUAGAAAAAUUGCUUUUAGCAAUAUUCAGAGAAAGAAGAGUAAUGGAGACCCAGUCAUUGCACAGAUAAUGCAACUUUCACAAUGUCACAGAGAAGGCAGAACUGCUGGUUCUAUUUCCAUCUUCUCUAUCAGGGAUCUUCGCUUUGGAAAGGAGCGGGCAAACGUCACCAUUAUGGUGGAACUGAAACCCUCACUUUGGAAAGUGGUGGCGAGGAAACAGCUGUAUUCUUGGGAGCCCCAUGUGACACUGGCAGCGUGAUGGGGAAGACAGAUAGCACGCAGGGACGCAGAUAAAGCAGUCAGGACAAACUCGAGUGCAUCGCGUGUCGAGGCAGAGCACACAUGAGGAAGAGCCCGCCUCUGAUGGCCAUGACAUUUGCCCUGUUAUCAGUGCAGGGGGUGUCGGGGACACCUUUUCCAGGAUGCAGUGUGGAGCAGAAAGCGAGUAAACACAGUGAAGACAGGCUGACACCAUCUCAGUGGCCAACUGGCCUCUUGAAGUCCGGAAUCCUCGGCCUGAUCAGUGAGGAGAAAUGAGACUUAAACGAACGGCUCCUGUGUGAGCUUCCAUCGUUAACAAUAGCAAGAUAAAGAAGAGCAAGUUGAUCCUUGAAGUGUUUGAAGGUCUUCGUAUAAGCAAUAAACAAGUUGGAAUUUAAGAGAGAAUAAUAACUCAAAAUGGUGAAAAAGAGUCCAAUAUAUUUCAAAACUGACAAGUUAAAAAGAGAAAUAGAGGAGCUUUUCUAAGAUGGAUCCUCUUA